AUUGAACGCUGGCGGCAUGCUUUACACAUGCAAGUCGAACGGUAACAGGCCUUCGGGUGCUGACGAGUGGCGAACGGGUGAGUAAUGCAUCGGAACGUGCCCAAUCGUGGGGGAUAACGUAGCGAAAGUUACGCUAAUACCGCAUAAGCCCUGAGGGGGAAAGCAGGGGGAUCGCAAGACCUUGCGCGAAUGGAGCGGCCGAUGUCAGAUUAGCUAGUUGGUGGGGGUAAAAGCCGUACCAAGGCGACGAUCUGUAGCGGGUCUGAGAGGAUGAUCCGCCACACUGGGACUGAGACACGGCCCAGACUCCUACGGGAGGCAGCAGUGGGGAAUUUUGGACAAUGGGCGCAAGCCUGAUCCAGCCAUGCCGCGUGC
rnacentral:rRNA from 1 species